GGACGAACGCUGGCGGCGUGCUUAACACAUGCAAGUCGAGCGGUAAGGCCUUUCGGGGUACACGAGCGGCGAACGGGUGAGUAACACGUGGGUGAUCUGCCCUGCACUCUGGGAUAAGCCUGGGAAACUGGGUCUAAUACCGGAUAUGACCUGCUCUCGCAGUGGGGGUGG
rnacentral:rRNA from 1 species